UACAAACCUUAUCGAUAAACAAUUGGAGGGCAAGUCUGGUGCCAGCAGCCGCGGUAAUUCCAGCUCCAAUAGCGUAUAUUAACGUUGUUGCAGUUAAAAAGCUCGUAGUUGAAAUGAAGGGUAGUUGUGUAAUGAAUACAUUCGUGUAUUUUGUUAUUCUACUACCCUCCUUCUAAAUUCGAUAUAUGAGUAUUAAUUUACUUGUAUAUGGUUUUAGACCUUUACUGUGAGAAAAUUAGAGUGUUCAAAGCAGGCAUUUGCUUGAAUAUAUUAGCAUGGAAUAAUCAUGUAUGAUUUUCAUGAUGUAUUUGAUUGGUUUGGUUCAUGAGAAUAAGAUUAAAAGGGACAGUUGGGGGUAUUCAUAUUCAAUAGUCAGAGGUGAAAUUCUCGGAUUUAUGGAAGAUGAAC
rnacentral:rRNA from 1 species